UACGUAGGGUGCGAGCGUUGUUCGGAAUUACUGGGCGUAAAGGGCUUGUAGGUGGCCAACUAAGUCACACGUGAAAUCCCCAGGCUUAACCUGGGAACUGCGUGUGAUACUGGAUGGCUUGAAUCCGGGAGAGGGAUGCGGAAUUCCAGGUGUAGCGGUGAAAUGCGUAGAUAUCUGGAGGAACACCGGUGGCGAAGGCGGCAUCCUGGACCGGUAUUGACACUGAAAAGCGAAAGCCAGGGGAGCAAACGGG
rnacentral:rRNA from 1 species